rnacentral:rRNA from 1 species
CGGUAGAGAGAAGCUUGCUUCUCUUGAGAGCGGCGGACGGGUGAGUAAUGCCUAGGAAUCUGCCUGGUAGUGGGGGAUAACGUUCGGAAACGGACGCUAAUACCGCAUACGUCCUACGGGAGAAAGCAGGGGACCUUCGGGCCUUGCGCUAUCAGAUGAGCCUAGGUCGGAUUAGCUAGUUGGUGAGGUAAUGGCUCACCAAGGCGACGAUCCGUAACUGGUCUGAGAGGAUGAUCAGUCACACUGGAACUGAGACACGGUCCAGACUCCUACGGGAGGCAGCAGUGGGGAAUAUUGGACAAUGGGCGAAAGCCUGAUCCAGCCAUGCCGCGUGUGUGAAGAAGGUCUUCGGAUUGUAAAGCACUUUAAGUUGGGAGGAAGGGUUGUAGAUUAAUACUCUGCAAUUUUGACGUUACCGACAGAAUAAGCACCGGCUAACUCUGUGCCAGCAGCCGCGGUAAUACAGAGGGUGCAAGCGUUAAUCGGAAUUACUGGGCGUA